rnacentral:rRNA from 1 species
UAGGGAAUAUUAGAAAUGGACGAAAGUCUGAUCUAGCAACACCGCGUGUGCGAAGAAGGCCUUCGGGUCGUAAAGCACUUUUUGGAAGGAAUAGGAAGGAAUGUACUUCCAGAAUAAGUCUCGGCUAACUACGUGCCAGCAGCCGCGGUAACACGUAGGAGGCAAACGUUAUCCGGAUUUACUGGGCGUAGAGCGCGUGUAGGUGGUACUGUAAGUAGGGCGUGAAAGCUCCUGGCUCAACUGGGAGAGGCCGUUCUAAACUACAGAACUAGAGGAUGGUAGAGGGAGGGGGAAUUCCAGGUGUAGGGGUGGAAUGCGCAGAUAUCUGGAGGAACACCGGUGGCGAAGGCGGCCUCCUGGACCAUGCCUGACACUCAGACGCGAAAGCUAGGGUAGCA